CGGGGCUACUGCUCUGUAAUUGGCAUGGGGGCGACCUUCACCCUCGCCCGAGUACCCAUUGGAGGGCAAGUCUGGUGCCAGCAGCCGCGGUAAUUCCAGCUCCAAUAGCGUAUAUUAAACUUGUUGCAGUUAAAAAGCUCGUAGUUUUACUUUUCGUCCUCGCUAGUGUGUUUUCACUAGGCGUGACGGCUCGUUACUUUGAGAAAAUUAGAGUGUUUCAAGCAGGUUUUGCCUGUAUAAUUGAGCAUGGAAUAACCUUGUAUGACCCUGUCGUACCGUUGGUUGCCUUGGGUAAUGGUUAAUAGGAACGGUUGGGGGCAUUCGUACUCGACUGUCAGAGGUGAAAUUCUUAGAUUUGUCGAUGACGCACGACUGCGAAAGCAUUUGCCAAGGACGCUUCCAUUAAUCAAGAAC
rnacentral:rRNA from 1 species